rnacentral:lncRNA from 1 species
GCCUUCACAACAAGCUGGAUGUACUCAGGAUGCGCCUUAUACAUAACUCCAGUAAUGAGAUUGCCAUCAGAAACACAAUCCAUCAUGGUUUCGGGUUCAAUCCAAUGAGCACCGGCAUCGAUGAGAACAGGUCUCAGAGCAUGGUAUGCAGUGCACUUCCGGCCUUUUAAUAAGCCUGCAGCUGCCAAGAUCAAUGGCCCAUGGCAAAUAGCAGCAAUCAGCUUUCCUGAAUCGGAAAAUUGCCUCGCGCAGUUUAGCACAGAUUCAUUUAUGGCAAGAUAUUCUGGAGCCCUUCCUCCUGGUAUAACAAGCGCAUCAUAGUUGCUGAAAUCAACUUCAUCGAAAGUUGCAUUGAGACUAAAGUUGUGCCCAGGCUUCUCAGUAUAAGUCUACAGCAAGUAAAGUUCCAACAAACACAUCAGAACUAAGGAAAUGAAUGGCCAGAUUAUGGAUCUACUUUAUUUGAUCUGUUAGAUACACCCAUCAAGUUUAUCAGAAAACAGACUUGCAACGAGUUAAAGUCAUAUUAUCAUAACGAAGAGUAUCAAAAGCUCUGCGCCCUUGAGAGUAACAAUUCAAGUCGUAAUUUUUAUCACCACAAUUUGCUAACUUCAAGUCUCUUCGUAAUGAACUUGUUGGAAUAACACAACUAUUUAAAGGCUUGGUACAGUUUUGAAGUAACAAACUGUUAUUCAAAGAAGGACCAAAGUUCUUGCCAAAAAGAGGCUUGAUUCUUUCAAUAGAACGAUUACAGUCUGCUAGAAUAUUGGUCACGAUGACAUUUGGGGUUAUGUUCUGGACUUGAAAUUCACCAAUUUUGACGUCACCGACUGUGUGGUCGCACUGUAAAAUGAUGGGACAUCCUCUUGAGAAACCAAAAGGGUAUGGGACAACUUUAGCUGAUUUCCCAGUUCCACAAGAAGAUUCACAAGCGCUGCUGUUGGACUUCUGAGCUCUAGUUGGAGAACUUGUGGCGGCAAUAAAAAUUGUGAAGAUGGUGAUGAAAAGAACUGAACUUUCUUGUUGAAGAAUCAUUUUAGUUAGUCUUCGAAGGGAAUUGAAUCAUUACUUUUGCUGCAAACCCACAAAAGAUCACCAAUUAAACUACAAAGAUCGAGCUUGAUCAUGAAGAAAGUCAGAAGACACAAAGACAUCCUCAAAGAUCCAAUCUUUUCAGUUGUUGGCUCCUCACUUGCUCCUCCAGCGUCCAUAUCACACGACAAGCAAUUAAUCAGAAAAACCCUUAAUUAGUUUCAGAAAAAUCAAAAUCUUAGAUCUGAAAUCUUCUUUAAUCCAAGAAGAUUUGCCUAACACCAUGGGUUUUGUCCACUAAUAUCUGGAGACUGGCAUUCUAACAUGCCCUGUACAAUAAUUUGCACAUCCAUACAAGACAUAGAUGGAGGUGUUACAAAGAAAUAUGUAUUGCCAAGCAAACAAUAAUUAUAUAAUAACAAAUUAAUAAAUACAAGGAAGGGGGGGACCUGAUAUCCAUGAUAGGCACCAGAGUCCCCAACUUGAGUGCGGCAAUAAUCACCAGCUUUCUUUCCAGGACAAACAGCAUCAACUGCUAUUCCAUAAGCCUGCAAGGCUUGAAAUGGAACCAUAGCCUGCAAAAAACAAUAACAAAACCCUAUCUCUUAGAGAAGAAAAACAACUUCAAAAUGAGAAAGAUGGAUAAAAACGGAAGUAACCCACCUCAUAAUCUUCCAUGUAAUCCCCACAUAACAAUAGAACUUUCUUCUGUGGCUUGCAAUUAGCCAUUGCUGAUGCUAACAAUGACGCUUGAGAUUUAGCUCUCUGUGUAUUGCUAUUUGAGUGAUUAUAAAUUUACAAGUGCAGGAGAAACGUUUUGUUCUUUAACUCUCUUUGUUAAUGUUGACUCGAUCUCGAUGCACAUUCUGACGAAUAAAAUAAAGAAAAUGGGAGGUUUUUUAUUAACGUAAACGACUCAAGUUCGGUCUCACCCUAUUCAUAUAAAAUUAAAAACAUCGAGAAAAAAAAGUUAUAUAUAUAUUUUUUUAAUUGUUGUGCUUAGCUUUGGUUUGUGGACGUGUCUUAGUCGAAGCUUCUGUUACAUGGAGAUUUGACCACCAAUUAUGCUAGCCGCCUCUCCUCUGUCUUAACUUCAGAUGCGGAGUUUUGAAAAUGUUUGUUCAAUUAAUACAUACUAUAUCAUUUUUAUUGUAAUUUUUUUAUUAAAAUAUUUUUUAUUUAAAAAUAAAUUAAUACAUCCUAUAUUGCGCUCGCGCUCGCGCUCCUUCCUCUUCUUCUUGGCCGCUAUAUUUGUCCUUUUGGCCAUAUCCACACCUCUAGAUCGCCAUGGCAACGAGAUAUUCAAAGAACAUAGCCACCUGUUCAGCUGCGGAUCAAUACAAGACUUGUCAUAUCCUUUCCGGGAUAACAACCGAAGCCUGGACUGUGGACGUCAGGGAUUCAAGAUUUAUAGUGCCAAAACAAUAACACUGUCACAGAAUUGCAGAAUUAAUGUCAAUCGAUAAAGAGCUUCCUAUUCGUACAGUAGUUCGAAUGGAUAUGAAGGAUAUGAUGGCUGCCCUGAGGAUAUUUUUAACAUCACCCUCAACAAUACUCCAUUUGAUUAUGCUCCUUGGAGUAUAAACCUAAGUUUUAUAUACGAUUUCCCCCCUGAAAAGUAGAAUCAAAUACCCAUUACCUCAAAAUGCCCCAUAAAAGUUACGACCGCCGGAGGUUUCUACAUAGACAAACAGAACCGGCGACCAUAUAUUCAAUUAAUCAUUUGGUAACAACAUCCUAGUUUCGAUUCUUGCUGGCUUUGAGGAACUUUACAACCCUAAAGCAACAAUAAAAAUAUAUGUUGAUAUUGUUUUGAUGGAAAAGACGAUCUUAUUCAUGUCAAAGAUGCAUGGUUCCCUACUUUGAAAAUAAUUUGUCCUCCAUAUAUCGUGAUGAAUUAAUUUCCUAUAAAUAAAGCAAAACAUAUUAUUAUGUAAAUACACCAAAUUUUCAUUUUUUGAUAAAAAGAUCGUAUUCAUAAAAUCUCAUAAGCAAUAAAAUCUAGUUGGAAACUAAAACAUCUUUGAUUGUUAUUUGAUUUGGCAAGUUAUUACUCUGGUUAUUUUUUCUCUCAGCUUAUGGUUGAAAACAAAUUAAUUCAACUGGAAACGGGGGCAAAAUUUGAAUUUUGAAAACAAAGGGUGUCAGAAUAAAAAUAUAUUACAAUACAUUUAAAAGUAAAAUAAACUAGUAAUUAAUGGAUAUAAAAAAUUACAAUUACAAAGAAAACUAAAACAGCUAAUGAUUUUACUAUACAAGAAGUUAUUGUCCAUGCUAUUUAUUUUUAUUAUAAAUUACAAUAGUGCCAUUUUUUAUUUUUGUAAAACUUGGUUGAAACAAAAUAAAAGUUUAUAAACGGUCAAGAACAACUUGAAAUAAAUGAAUGGGCUUAUACAAAGAAGAGAUGAAAAUGAAAGUCUAGUAAAUUAACUAGGACUAAAUUAGAAAUAUAGAAAGUAAUUUUAAAACUACUACAAUAAAGUGAAGGAUUAAAGUGUAAAAAAAAGAGAAGGAAAAACACACAAUUUUUCCUUCUUUAAAGACACACUUUGAGGGUGUUUGGAAGUGUGGUAACUGUUGCUUUUCAAAUAGCUUUUCGUGCCGAAAAGCAUACCAAUAAUAUUUUUUUCAUUUUUUAAAAAUCAUUUUUGAUAUCAGCACAUCAAAACGAUUCAGAAAGUACAAACCGUACUCAAUUUUAGCAAAAAAAAAAUUAAAAUUUUACAAAAAACUGUUUGGACCGCAAUGCCAAACAACCUCUUUAACUCUUGAAGUGUGGAGGGAAGUUCUCCUCCACACUUCCCUCUAAGCUUAAUUUUUUGUUUUCUUUACUUUAACUUUUAAACUUUUUAAUACAUCAAAUCUUCUCUUUAAUUUCUGGACACUCUUCCUAUCUAACUUCUUUAAAAAAUGACAAGAGUCUUCUUUUCUCUGUUUUCUUUUCUUGGCCAAUUGUACACUCUUUUUUUUUUUUUUUACAUUGCAAGCAACUUAGAAGGAGAGCUGUUUUGGGCAGGUUUUCAAAUUGAUCUUGAAGAAAUUUUUAGGCAAUUAUUUGUACUAUUUCAUUUUUUAUAUGUUUAUUGUAUUUAACUUUUUAAAAAAUUUUAUUGAACUCCAAAAAUUUUGAAACCUUAAUCUAAGUUAAAAAAAUAUUUAUGAAGACUCUACACAAAAUUUCAAUUUAAUCUACUAUUAAAUUGAACAUUACCUGUUACAAUAUAAAAUUAUCUUGUUUGUCAUUUUUCAUCAAAAAUUUAAAUUUUUUUAUUUCAUUCUUGUAUAGAUCAUAUCAAUUAGUUUACUCAAAUAAUGAGACUUGGACAAUUUUUGAUGUAAAAAAAAUACAUGAAUUAGGAAAAACAAUUGCAGUGAAAAAAAUGUUUUUUUUUUUUUUUUCAGAACGAAGCCUAGAUUGCUUAUUUAGAAGCAUGAUGGAAAACCAUUUUAUAUACUACUGCUGGAACGUAGUGGAGAGCUACUCACCAUCAACAAUCAAACAGUAAGAAUCUUGAAUCAUUACUCAAAUAUUUGUUAUAUAACAUAUUCAAGAAAUUUUUCCAUUUCUCAUACUAUUUCCUAGCCAUUACUUAAGAAUUUAACAUCUUGUGUCAAUAUAAUCACUUGAGACUUCUUUUUCUCCCUUAAAUGUUGCAGAAGCAAAGUAUAUUUCUCUUCUUUAUGCGUAAAUAUUACUAUAUGUGAAUCCCUCUUCACAUUUUCAACAUUUAUCAGAACAUUAUUCACUUUUCACAGAUGACAAUUCGUUGUAUAGUAUUGGGAACCGUAUAUUAUUCGAUGUUUAUAUCCAGGUAACCAAACUUUUUCUCAUGAUACUUGAGAAACGACGCCGGAAUUGUAUAUCCACACUUGCUUGCUGAUCAUUACUUGUGAUGAAGUAGCAUAUUUAAUGUUUGUCUGCGAUCAACACAAAAUACAAGGCUAUAAGAGACCAUUCCUAGCAGAAUCCAAGCCAAAAGUGGAAUUGCAAUAGCAUGGAGAGCUUGGUUUCAGCUUCUCGGUUCUCUGCUCCAUUUUACAAUGGUAUAUUUUAUGGUCUUAUUCUUAUGGUGGUAAGAGUAUGAAGAAGUUGUUUCCUCUUGUCUUGCUGCCAAACCUUGUAAAAUUAGAAGAAAUUGAAGUUUGUAAUUGUGAGAAAAUGGAGGAGAUAAUAGGUGUAACAAACGCCUAUAUUGCAUAGGUAUCAAAUUAAAGGGGAUGCAAAUGCUUGUGAUAAAAGACAACCGUCUAUGAUAAAUGACGAAGACACCUUGUUUGAGAAGAUGUAAGUGGAGCUAUUAAGCAUUCCGAGUGAACGGGUGCAGGCGCGAUGAUGAAAGGUGUAGGAGCUUGCAACAUGGAAAUCGAGAUGCAGGACUGCUCUUUCUUUUUAUGUAAUCAGUGGCCCUAGAUUCUUUGGAUUUUAGUUUCGCUAAUGUCAUUCUUUUUAAGCAUUAUAAUUACUCUUUUUUUUAGUGAUUCUAUAUUAAUAACAGUGUUUUUUUAGUGAAUGCUGCAUUAAGGAAUCUAAAAGAUCCAAGGAGGAAACUGGAAGAACGGGUUUGCAUCAGGAUCUUCUCAAAUCUUCACCCCUUGAGGCACGGUUAUCCAGCCACUCAUCGAGGCCCCUAUCUGUGCUAUGAUAAUUGAUGUUGAUAAUCCAUGCUGUCAUUAGCGAGCCGAGUUGCUCCUCGGAAACAUCACUGUCAUGAUAAUUGCAUAUGUUCGAUCUGAUAAAUGCAUCAAGUGAUUUUCUGUGGAGAGUAAUCACUGCAUUUUGCCACAAAAAAAUACAUGCAUAGAUGAAGAUGUUAACUGGGUGAAGUCUGUAAGGAAACGCCUCGAGAUUUAAUAUUUUGGGAUUUUCAAUGAAAAUUGAAUGUAGUUUGAUCUUUUAUAUAUAUAUAUAAGAAUUGAAGUUAAUCUCUUUUCUUUUUCGUUUGUAAAAAAUCGACUGGACUACUGUAUCCGUACCAGAGUAUAUGAGCAACCAAAACAGAAGCACCAGAACCUCGAAUAUUGGGAAAUCUGGCAUUUCUUCCAUGUACAUAAAUCCAUUACAAGCAAUCUAAUGACAAAAAGGAAAGCAUCUUUCCGCAGCUCUGACUACUUGGAACACCAUUAAGUGAUUCGAUAUAGCUAGCUUAAUUAGCAUGAACAGUGUAGCAUACAUUACUCUGUUCGGUACAGUGUAUGCAUGUUAUAUUGUUCAUGCUAAUUAAUUAGCAUGAACAGUGUAUAAGAACCAUUUUUUAUUUUUAUUGUUGAAACAAAAGCAGCUGGGAGCUGCUUUGUAAGAGCUGUGGUUGGAACACUAUGAGUCCGUUUGGGUAUGCGGCUGCGGCUGCGUUUUAAAUAAAACGCAGCGCGCAGCUGUUUGGUUAAGGAAAAAAGCAUUUCACUGUUCAUGGGCCCCACUUUAAUUCUGCGUUUCUAACGCGAGAAAUGAGAAGCAGCUAAUUCACGCUUUUUCUCUACUGUUCAUGUGUAAUUGCACUGUUCAAUGAACAGUGCAAUUACAUGAACAGUAUUCCGUAUAUACUGUUGAUAUGAACAGUGCUGGAGAAUUGCACUGUUCACUUAAGAAUAGUGAACAGUGCAAUUCUCUUGCACUGUUCACUGCCUGCGUUGGUUUUGUUUUUUUUUUUUUUUUUUUUUUUUUAAUAUAUUUUUUUUAAAAAAAAUAGUUUAGAGUUAAUUUUAUACCUGAUAAUAUUUUAUCUAAAUUUAUUACAUGCUAAAAAUAUUAUGAAAACUGUAAUUUUUGUUGAAUGAAUCUCGUACGUAAUAGAAUUAUAAAUGGUUUCAUGGAAUAAUAAAAAUUAUAUUUAUAUAAAGUAUGAUUUAUUUCAUGAUAUAAUAGCAAUAGUUUAAAUCCACAAUAUUUAAAUUAAAAAUCAUAAGUACUAAUAUAUAUUUUUAAAAUUAUUUUAUAACCUCAAUUUUAAAAAUAUUCUUAACCAAACACAUUAAAUUACUUUUUCUUUAACUUCAAUUUCAACCACAGUUUUAACCAAACACCUAUUUUUUCAAACCAAACUCAACUAAAAGCACUUUUUAUAAAACAACUUUUUUUAAACCACAACCACAAUAGCUACCACAAUACCAAACGCACUCUAUAUGGGACUCAUGAACAGUAAAAUCCAUUUUUUUAUGUAACCAAACAUCUAGUAGUUGCGUUUUAUUUAAAACUCAGGCACAGCUGUGUAAACAAACACAAACAAUAAAGCAGGGCCAUAAAGGGCUUUGAAUCCGGAUGUUAUUCGAGAGACAUACAGGAUCAGGUAAGUAUUAUUGCAACAGAAAAGCUAGAAUGACACUCGGAUGCCAAGUAAGGCCAUCAGCUGAGACACAAACUGAGGGUGCCCUGGCCAUGCAGCUCCGGUAACCAAGUUUUCGUCGGUGUAGCAACGAUCGAUUGGAUCCGGUUCUAGCCAUGUUGCCCCUCCCAGGAGGACGUUCAGCUUCACAGCAGGGUAUGCGGUGCAUUUUCUUCCCUGCACCAACAUGAUUCACAUAUACAAGAAUAAGGAUGGCAGGUGUGAAGAAAAUGAUUACUUGUGUGAUUCUAUGAAAGUGAAAGAAAACAUUGGACCCUACCUUGAGAACUCCCGCAGCAGCUAGGAUCUGCUGUCCGUGACAAAUAGAGGCGACUGGCUUCUUUGAUUGCAUGAAUUUCUUCACCAAGGCAAUCACUGUCUCAUCCAGUGCCAAAUAUUCUGGAGACCGGCCACCGGGGAUGACGAGAGCGUCGUAACUCGAGGCAUCCAACCCUUCAUAGGAAGCUGUUAGAAUGAAAUUAUGGCCUGGCUUCUCAGUGUAUGUCUGGUCACCUUCAAAGUCAUGGACUGCAGUCGGGCAGAAAUCCCCAGCCUUCUUCUUGGGGCAAACUGCAUCAACGUGGCACCCGAGAGCUUGAAGGGAUUGAAGAGGAACAGUAACCUCAUAAUCUUCCAUGAAAUCCUGAAAGCAAGAAGAGAAUAAAUACUUGUUAGUAAACAAGAAAAAACACUUGUUUCUUCGAGCUUGAUGACAGGAACCAGAGACAAAUAACUUUUGCAUUAGAACUUACCCCACAGAGAAACAGAAUCCUUUUAUCUGAACCAGCUAUCUUGCCUCCCAGCGCCUUCACAACAAGCUGGAUGUACUCAGGAUGCGCCUUAUACAUAACUCCAGUAAUGAGAUUGCCAUCAGAAACACAAUCCAUCAUGGUUUGGGGUUCAAUCCAAUGAGCUCCGGCAUCGAUGAGAACAGGUCUCAGAGCAUGGUAUGCAGUGCACUUCCGACCUUUUAAUAAGCCUGCAGCUGCCAGGAUCAAUGGCCCAUGGCAAAUAGCAGCAAUCAGCUUUCCUGAAUCGGAAAAUUGCCUCGCGCAGUUUAGCACAGAUUCAUU